rnacentral:rRNA from 1 species
GACGAACGCUGGCGGCGAGCUUAACACAUGCAAGUCGAACGGAAAGGCCCUGCUUUUGUGGGGUGCUCGAGUGGCGAACGGGUGAGUAACACGUGAGUAACCUGCCCUUGACUUUGGGAUAACUUCAGGAAGCUGGGGCUAAUACCGGAUAGGAGCUCCUGCUGCAUGGUGGGGGUUGGAAAGUUUCGGCGGUUGGGGAUGGACUCGCGGCUUAUCAGCUUGUUGGUGGGGUAGUGGCUUACCAAGGCUUUGACGGGUAGCCGGCCUGAGAGGGUGACCGGCCACAUUGGGACUGAGAUACGGCCCAGACUCCUACGGGAGGCAGCAGUGGGGAAUAUUGCACAAUGGGCGGAAGCCUGAUGCAGCAACGCCGCGUGCGGGAUGACGGCCUUCGGGUUGUAAACCGCUUUCGCCUGUGACGAAGCGUGAGUGACGGUAAUGGGUAAAGAAGCACCGGCUAACUACGUG